rnacentral:rRNA from 1 species
CCUACGGGUGGCAGCAGUAGGGAAUAUUGCUCAAUGGGGGAAACCCUGAAGCAGCAACGCCGCGUGGAGGAUGACGGUUUUCUGAUUGUAAACCCCUUUUGUUAGAGGAGAAAAUGACGGUAUGUAACGAAUAAGUACCGGCUAAUUCCGGGCCAGCAGCCCCGGUAAUACGGCGGGUGCAAGCGUUAAUCGGAAUCACUGGGCGUAAAGAGCGCGUAGGUGGGUUAGCAAGUCAGAUGUGAAAUCCUAGAGCUUAACCAUAGAACUGCAUUUGAAACUGGUAUGCUAGAGUGAGGGUGAGGUAGGUGGAAGUCUUGGUGUAGGGGUAAAAUGCGUAGAGAUCACGAAGAAUACUCAUUGCGAAGGCGGCCUGCUGGAACGUAACUGACGCUGAUGCACGAAAGCGUGGGGAGCAAACAGGAUUAGAUACCCUAGUAGUC